rnacentral:lncRNA from 1 species
AAAACUAGAGGAUCAUAAGGGGUUGUUGGAAUAAUAGCCUCGUUGAACCACGGAGGAUUGUACCAUCUACGAAACUCCCGGUCUUUGCUCGAGUACAAGUGACCAGGUGGAAAAACUUCAAAAUGUUCACAUUCAUCAUUCAGCCCUUUUAAUUCUGAUGCAAUCCACACAGAGCCUACAGUAACAAAAAUGUCCCAAACUUAUCACAAAUCAUUCAAAUUUUUGGCUCUUUAGUUAUAAAAUCGAACAAAUGAACUCAUGCUAAUUACCAUCUAGUCCCCAACCAAUGUACAAGGAAGUGACACCUAUAGCAUCCCUUGCAACAAUGAAACUGUUGUCACGAGUAUCCAACAGAACAAAGGAAAAGAUACCAUCCAACAUGUCCACAAAAUUUUCUCCAUACUCCUCAUACUAACAACAAAAAUUACCAAAAUCAAUAACAUUAAUGGUACAAUAAUUAGCAAUGUUUUAAAUAAAGGUCCACGACCGCAACCUAGACCGUGACAUACUAACCAGGUGUGCAAUAACAUCACAGUCACAUUGUGUACGGAAUUUGUGAUUAGGCAAUUGUUUCCUGAGGUCUUCAUGAUUGUAGAUCUCUCCAUUCACCUGAAUUUUAUGAUAAAAUUUAUAUGUUACUACCACUUUAAAAACUAUAUAGUAUAAAAAAUGUAAUAAACUAUAGAAUAUUAUUACCGUGACAAUAAUUGAUUUAUCUUCAUUGAAGAGAGGUUGAUCACCAGAAGCAGGAUCAACAAUGGCUAACCUUUGAUGAGCCAAAUAGUUAUCACCAUGUUGGUGGAGCCCACUCCAGUCUGGACCACGGUGCUUCAAUCUGUGACAUCAUAUGAAAAAAUAUUAAUAUAUGAUCAAUCAAAUUACUUAUCAAACUAGCCGAAGUUACUUAUUAAUUAUUAUUCUAAUUGGACUUUAUGUAUAUGAACAUGUAAUUAAAAAUUCCCACGUGAUUUAUUAAAAUAAAAAUUCCACAUGCAAGACAAAUUAAUUUUAUCUCUUUUUCGUUGAUUUUGUUGGGUUAAUUGCCGAACCAAUUGUUGCAUCAUAACAUGUGGACCCCACAUACUACUUUUUUUAACCUCAAUAAGCCAAAAUUAUGUAACAAAAUGUGUCAUAGUUGUCUACUCCCCUUGUCAAAGUCAAGUAUGUUUAUCCUAAACUACUAGUAGUUACUAGUUACAAGUUACAACUGAAAGAUAAGCAUUGGGGCCCAAUAUAAAUGGAUAAUUAUAUUUUCAACUCUUACAUAUAAUUCUCUUUAAAAUAUUUGAUGGUUUUUAUUUUAUUCAAUGGGAAAAUAUUGGAUGAACUAGUAGAAACUAGACAUCACUAUGACAUUUAAUACGAGGAAACAAAUAAUAAGCACCACCAUUUCUAGUAUCCUUUAGUUGUAUAUCACUUAUCAUAUUAACUUAUAAUAAUAUAAAUACCAUAUUAUAUUAUAUCCAUAUAUGUAUUAGUAGUAUUUUUAGCAACUUCAUGCUAAAAAUACUUAUACCCUCUUAACACCAAAAUAUCUUGAAGCUCCAUGUCAAAUUUUAAAAUAUAAGAAUAUUAAUCCUUGAUAUCAAUCACAACCACUCCCAUGAGCUUCAAACCAUAAAAUACGUCUUUGCGAACUUAACUUAAUUGGUAUAUAAUAUAUGCAAAUUUCAGGGUUCAAAUCCCAAUCACCACAAAAAAAAAACAAAUACAAAAAUAAAAAAUAAAAAACUCUAGGUAAAGAAGAGUUUGAUCAUGGAUGAAAAAACAUGCAAAAGAAGAAACUUUGAAUACAAAUAUCAAAGUUAACCAUAAUAUAAGAUAUAUAUGUAUGUAUAUGUAUAUGUAUGCAUGAAAAUGAGAAGAAUAAUUGCCUGCGAGAAAGCUCAAGGAUGCGAACCCUCUUAGCUUGUGAGUCAUCAGAGCAACCAAGUACAGCAAGUAUACCACACAUUGUGAUGAUCUAUAAGGGUUUUUGUUUGAAGAGAGAAAGAAAAAAGGAUUGGAUAAAAUGUGAAGAGGAUAAAGAAAAGAAGAAGAAGACACGAAAAACAAGGUGCAAAGAGUGUGGAAUAACCAACACGUAGAAUGGUUGAGAUACGAUGAGUUAAGGACACGUAUUUAUAUGCGUAAGGUGGGUGCUAAACGGUGUCGUUUUGGUUUUGUGAAUUUGGUGACCGGGAACCGGUUGGUGGCGGUGACUAGAUGUAGGGACCACUGCUACGUGGGGUGACGUGGUUUGCUAUGGGAUUUUUUUGUCUCCUUAUUUUUUCACGAAAACUUGUUUUUUUGUCUUGCUUCAUUGUUUACUAUUAUUUUUUUAUAAAGAAAGUUUUAGGAGUUUUCUUGAUCGUGCAUAUUCAGAAGGAUUAUGAUGACCUACUUAUUAUAUAUUUAGGAAUUAAAAUGACUAUUACCUUUAAAGAUUUAAGAAUUGAAUUCUGAAGAUUCAUCGAGGCUAGGGUUUAUAAAAUGUUAUCGUAGUUAUGGUUUAAUUUCUUGUUAUUUAGUGCUUUUUGGUUGAAGAAUUUAUAAGACAUAAAAAGUGAGUUCUUCUUUUCUGGCAUAUUUUUUUUGCAUAUCAAUGACAUAAAAUAAUACUAUUUAUUUAAUAAUUUUAUUUGAUUCUAGUUUAUGCUUGAGCGGUUUGCUACUUCCUCCAAUAAAAUAGAAGUGUGAGAAAGGAUUAUCCACACCGUUUUUUGUUUGUUUGCUAGUUGAUACCAAUCAAGUGCUACGUCAGCUUGGAUCCAUUUUCACAGAUAAUAAUAACAAAAAUAAUUUUGUAAAAUGAAAUGUGGAGAAUUGUUUAGGGUAUUUCCAAAAUAUAUUCUAUAAGAAGCUAUAUCUUCCACUAAAAUCCUGCAUUUUCAAAGGAUUAGAUGAACAAUCACCGAAAUUUAUUUAUUUUAUAUUUUACAAAAAAGUUUAUUUAUUUUCUAAAAACUCAAUUCCUUGGUUUCUUGUUUUUCAUGACAUUGACUUUAUUUUGAUGGGCGAAAUGUAUGUUUCCUAUUUUCUCCUUUCUUAAACCUUAUGCAUCCUCAUCUUUUUUGUUCUUAAUUAACUGAAAAGGAAUGGUUUAGGAUUAAUUUUGAUUUUUUUCUCUUAGUACGGUUUUUAUUUGAUUUAGGUUGAACGAUUAACUUUGAUAAAGUUCGAAUUCAAUCAACAACUAUUUCAACGAAAAUUGGAUUCUAACCACUAAAUUACUAGAAAAAAAAAAUAGAUUUUUUGAAGACACCAAAUCUUGAACAGAGGACCAUGAGGUCGAGAAGAGAACUCUACAGCAAAAUGAUCUAACGGUCGAAAACUAGAUUUGAUGGUGUAUUUCUAAGGAAAAUGUAUUCUAUAAGAAGGCAUCUUCCACUAAAAUCCUGAAUUUUCAAAGGAUUAGAUGAACAAUCACCAAAGUUUAUUUAUUUUAUUUUUGACGAAUUUUUUUAUCUAUUUUUUUAUAACCCUUGUUUUUCAUGAUAUUGAAUUUAUUUCGAUGGGCGAAAUGUAUGUUUCCUCACUUUUCCUUCUUAACCCUAUGCGUCUCCAUCAUUUUUGCUCUUGAUCUAUUGAAGGGAUAAUUUAUGGUCAAUUUUAAUUUUUCGUCUUAGUACGAUUUUUAUUUGAUUAAGUUGAAAGAUUACCUUUGAUAAAAUGCAUAUUCAUUUAAUGAUUUUGGCUUAGCCAACGUUGUAAAUCCGUAGAAAUUGAUACUCCAAAGACUUUAAUAUAUUUAUAUUUGUAUACAUAUGUACUCUGUUGUUUUAUGUUAUUUAUAUGAAUGUUGUGAAUUUGUUCAUAGAAUCAUCUUCUCUUUUUUUAACAACUUUGAAUUUGUAAUAUAUCAAUUUACUCUAUCAACUUGAAAGAAUGAAUGAAUAUUGUGUUUAUUUUUUUUUUGCUAAAAAAAAUAACCAUAAACAAGUGGACUUCUGCCUAAUGGUUACAACCUCUUUAUGAUUUGCUUAUAAAUAUUUCUUUUGACUAAAAUUUGCAUAAUUAUUAAUAAUAAUUACAUUCAAGAAAUUAAUUUCUAUAAACAAUGCAAUAAAUUUUUUAUAUAUAAUCCAAUCAAAUCACAUCGCAGUAUGAUUUAGUUUUAUUUGUAAUGUCUCAAUAAACACCUACAUCGUGAUAUGUGACCGGAUACAUUUGUAAAGUGUACGUACAAAAUUGUCCAAGUUCAUUUCUUUACUUUUGUUAGUAUUUUUUUUUAUUUAACAAACAAAUGACCCUCUUUUUAAUCAAAUUUUUAAUGUUUGUUUUCUUCGCUUAAAAAGAAUGUAUGGUUUUCUAAUAAAAAAUAAAAAGGAACUAUUUAACCCUAAUUCCUAAACAAACCAUCAUAAUGUAUUAAUUGAAUUUAAAAUUCAUACAGAAAAGUUCAAGUAUGACGAAUUAAACCUAGUUAAGCAAGUUACUUACAAAAAAAUGUACGUGCUUCCUUCAAAAGUAUUGUAAGGGUAUAUUAUAAAAACAAUAUUGCAUAUGUGAAAAAAAUUGAUACAUUACGAUGAGUGGAUAAAAUAAAAUGAAUAAAAGUCCAAAUCAAUUAGUGCAUAUUUUCAACAAAACUGCGUGGCAGUAACUUGUGUAAUAUAUGAUCCUUACGCGUUAUCUACGUGGAUAUGAUUAGUGAAUAGCGACUUCUUCUUUCAAAGAUAACACAUUACUAUUUCAAUAAGAAUCGAAUAAAACUUUUCUUCAUAUAUUGCCACCUAAUUUCAUAGGAGAAUUUUGUUUUUGACUGGAUUACGUUGGAGAAUUUAUGCCAAUAUUAUUUUUGGGUUACAAUUUUAAUGAAACGACGUUUCAUUCCGAUUAGUAGUGAUUAAUCUUCAUCAGAGAACAUAUAAACUACAUAAAGUCGAUAUUAUCACAUUAAUAUUUUUUGAAAAAUGAUAUAUAACUGAAUUAUUUAUCAUGAAAAUAUUCUUUUUUUUGACAAUAUAAGUGUAUCUGUUUACUUUUUUAUUAGAUGAUAAUGUUAUUCUAGCUAGGUACUUCAAAAUGGAUGAGUCAAGAAAACAAACUAGUUCAAAAUGGAUAUACCAUGGAAUCUAUGAUAUGGUUUAUGAAUUUAUGCGAAUUUGCUCCCAAUAACUGUCUACAUCCACUCUGUAAAGAUCCUUAUCAGUUUACUGAGGCAGAUUUUUAGGGUUUGUUUUAAUAAAAUACUAUAUAGAUCAUGAUAAAGUUUGAAUAAAAGAUGGUAUGCAUAAUUUAGUUGUUCAAAUUUCUUUUGUCCUCUUUUGGUCACAUCACAUUCAAUCAAUAAUCCUUUUGGUUACUCAAUGUAUAUUUUCCGCGUCUGAACAUGUGGAAGUGGAUAAGAUCAUUCUUGUCUUACACUCCCAUUCUUUGGAGAAAUUAUGUUGGUAGUUUCCUAGUUGGUACCCUUACAAAGAAAGAAAAAGAUAAGGAGAAAUUAUGUUGAUAAUUUGGAUUUGAAUUCUAAUACUUUCAAUUCAACUAACUUCACUUGAAUUUAAACACUUAGAUGUCUUUGGUAUUGUAAAUGAUAAGUACCUAACAUAAACAAUGCAAUACAUAAUAAAAUUGAAUAAAGGUUUAAGGUAUUAAAUAAUUUUUUAUUUUAUAUGAUAUUUGAUGGACAUAAGACUAUUUUAGUAUUUUAGAGAUGUACAUUUAAAAUUAAAGUUGUGUUGCGGUUUAGUGAGAAACAAAUUUUUUAGUUUUUGUUAUGUCUUUGACCCCUAUCUCAACGCCCUCUCCUUUUCUUUUGUUUCGGUUGUUGCUUUUUUAUCCUCUAACACGUUCUUACUUUUUAGCAUGUAAUGUUUGUUAGUUUCGAUGUCUGGUUCUUAAAAUUAUGUUUGAAUUGAUGGAAUAUGGAGUGGAAUACAAGACUUCCAUUGACUUUUAUCAAUACAUUACAUACUUUCCCAAACCAUUAGUAACUCAACUAAAAUCCUAAAAUAAAAUGACAAAAAGAGUCUUUAAAACAGUACAAUACAUGUUAUGAUGAGGAGUCGUCACAAUCCCAAACGUAUACGUUUGGUUGUCCUUAAAGUAACAAAAUAUGCAUAUAUUCGAAUGCAGUCUCUAGAGUAACAUACCUCUCCAAUUAGAGUCAACCUCGGUGCUCACUUUUUGGUUGUAUAAUAAUGUUUUUUUUUUUUUUACAAUAAUUCAAUAAUAAUGAUGACAGUAUACUUUUUAUCAUUAAAAUAAAAACAUUCAUUAAAUCGUUUAGAAGUUGAACCUUUCAUCACAAUCUCAAAUGUUCGUCACAUAAAAUCCAUAAAUUCAUCUUCUUUUUCUACUUAAACCCUAGAAAAUGCAAACAACUCAACUAAUCUUCAUGAAAACCUUGAAUCAUCAAGAACGACGACUCAUUUAAAUUUUCAUAGAGAAGUUGAAGCAAAGAAACGCCGCACGGAAAAGGAAAGAGCUCUUCAAUUGCCUCUCCUAUCAUAUCCGUUCAAUCCUUAACAAACUUGGCCAUGAAGCUAAAGUUUUUAAAUCGUGUAUGCAUAUUGUGAUGAAGUAGAAUAAGUAUGAUAAGCUCCCAUUAUCAACAUUCUCCAAGCUCUCCUUCAAAUUCCCUAAACCAAAAUGUUUUCUUAUGUGAUGCUUUAGAGUAUUACGAUCAAUCCUUUUAAUGACGACAUUUUCCGAAACUAGUUUAACCCUUCCUUUUCUUUCCAAAAGAUAAAAACUACCAAAAAUCCACAAAACAUACUACCAUAAUUGCUAAAUCGAGCAAACCAAUCUAAAAAGUGUGGGUCGACACAUCAAUCUAGUGGAUGGGGCCACUACAUCACCUUCACAAGUUGAAAUCCAUGUCUAGAAAAGCUACCACCAUUGUCAAUAGUGUCAUUGCCAACAUUAGUAAUAAGGAUGAAGGACAUCUUAAGUAAGCAUGUUAUUCUCACAGUGCUUGAGAAACAUCCUAUUCUCAACUACAUGAAUGUUCUAGGAGCCACGAAGUGCAGGUUAUUCACCACCAUUUUAAUAAAAGGAGCAAUGGCCUUACAAGAUCAUACGAAGAGGAUCAAAUGAUUCAUGGGAAGAGCUAUGUCGUAAGCUCAUUGGUCACUUCAGAAACUCUCGAAGACAACAAAAAAUUAUGGCGACCUUAUAGGCAAAUUUUCAAGGAAAUAAUGAGCCACUUCGCGACUACAUUGAAAUAUUAUACAAGGAGGUUUUCUAAAUGCGAGGAGUAGAUAAGAAAAAUGAAGUUUUACUUUCUUAAGAGAGGUCUCCAUCGAGGAAUGGACUUCGCCAAAGAAAUUGGUGUUGAAUAACCAACGAGCCUUAACGAAUUCUUGAACACAUGAAAAAAUAUGCAUAAGGUAUGAAAAGAAGUCGAGCAUGAAUCAAUGUUCGUCCACUCCAUAAUUCACCUUGACAAGAGCUUCGAUGCACUUGCCCAUCAGCAAAAUUUCUCCCGAGAUGCGCUUAGUUGAUACAAUCGUCACUUACAAUAACAUAGGUAAAAAUUCAUCCCACAACUGAUACAUUUUAAGCCUCAUCGAGGAAGAGAGCUUACCACAACAAGUUCCACCUUUGAGUAUAAAAAAAAAAUUAGGUAAAACCUUUCCAUUUUGAAAUGGAUCAAGUUUUAAACCUCAUCGAUCGAGAAUGAUAACUUACCACAAUAAGAUCAACCACCGGACAUAAAAAAAUCAAAACAAUAGAGAAAAACCCUCAUGCUAAUUUAAUCUCCACAAAUAAGUUAGACAGAUUAAACCUGCACCACGGGGUAGAAAAUAUCCAAUAACUCCAUCACUGUUAGAAUGUUAGGCAGAAUUCUAACUCGCGAUGGGAUUUUCACGCCUUGGGGAAGAUAACCAAUAAAGGUUCCUCCACCAUCAAACCAUUCAUAAAAACAACUUCGAACAAAUUUUGGGACACAAUAAUCUGAACGUAAGGCUAUUAAAGUAACUUUGUCAAUACAUCGUCUUCCCACAAGAUCAUAAAAGCGAGAAAUGCUAUAUUCUUCGAAAUGCACCUUGUCAGCGACAAAACUCUAUAUGGAUAUGAUAUACCCUCGACACUUACCGUCGAACAUAAAAAAUUCUAAUGAAUAUUUAACACAUGAUAUAGUAAAAAUUAUCUAUUUAAUUUGGCAUGUCCUCUCCUUGUUUAAAUCACACAUAGUCAUCAUUUCGAACUACAAAAUGAUGGCUAGGGUGGGAAACAUUGUGUUGGACUAGACCAAGACUCAAAUUUUUGGAAUGGAAUUAAUCACACCUCGCGAGACAAAGAAGAAUACUAUCUUCUUCGUUAUAACAUUUUUCUCUUUGGAAACAUACAAAGAAAUUGUCCUUAACAAAAUAUUUGCUCUCUCCACGAGACUAUGAAGUUAAUUGUGCUUAACAAUAUAUUCUAUCUCUCAUAGACAAAUUAAAGUUGUGUUAGAGUUCACAUUGGCAAUGUUUCCAAAAUGUUGAAUGUAUUCAUGUGGUUGGACACCCUCAUCUUAUGAGUUAACAUUUGAGAGUCAAUUUUCAGUCUUGUUACCAUUGUAUAUGUCUAGUUAAUGAUGACAAAGUCACAAUUGGAUUCAAGAUCUAACCAGACAUGAGGGCGAAUAUUAAAGUUAUAUUGAAGUAAUGUUGUAAAGUUCUUCGGACUAUUAGAUGUUUAUGUGGUUGAUCAUUCUCAUCUUAUGAACGAACUAAUGAAAGUGAGAGUUUGGUUUUUACAAAGUAUCUUAUUUGACUUUUAAUUUUGUACUUUGGCAAGAAAUUGACAUGUAAAUUGAGUUUAAAGUAAAAAAACAACUAAAAAUAAAAUCAAUCAAUUACAUAAAUUCAAGUAAUCACAUUCCCUAAAAAAAAAAAAUCACAUAAAUGAUCGAAUAGUUUUGUACAUCAAAAUCUAUCUAUAUAUUUUUUUUCUUCUUUCUAUGUAAGAAAAUACGAACACAUAUCAGAUCAUGAUUAACAUAUGCAUCUCUGAGAGAAAAGAACAAACGAUUAAAAAGCUAUUGAAAUUGAAUAAAAUUUGGCUUUUAGACAUCCCUAGGGGAUAAUUUCUAUGAACAGUAUUAUUUCAAUUUUUUUUUUCUAUGUACAUUAUAUUAUACGCGUUGUUUUUGAUAUAAAAAAAAGUGCACAUUGUUUUUUGAUAUAAAAAACUACAUAUUGUUAAUUAGUUUAUAAUAAAUGACUUUCGAUUAAUCUUGAAGCCGUAUUAAAUGAUUAAUACAUCUUUGGUAUUUUGUGAUCAUAACUAAGGCAAAAAGAAACUAAAACUAAAACUCUAUGCAUGUCUUUAUCCAUAGAAGUCAUCCAUGUUGAGAAAACAAUGUCGAUCUUUUGCAUCCAAAAAUAUUUGUGACUUUUAGAGGUUAUAAAGAGAUUCAUUUGUUUUUAGUGAAAAAGAAUAUAGUUUACGACUUUUGGUAUCUCCGUAGGUCGUUCUUAUGUUAUUUUCUUUCGUUAUUUCCUAAUCCACAUAAGUGAAUUUGAUUGAUGAUGACUCUUAAAAAGAAUUGUUAUUUUUUAAUCUAUGUUUGUAAGUAUUCAUUAAUAAUACCAUUUUUUUGUCUAAACAAAAUAUUAAUGAUACACAAUUCUCUAACUUGGUGGUAUAGUAUUUGUUUGAUGUCAUAUGGGUUUUGAGUACCUCUUGUAUUCAUAAUUGAUUUUUUUUUUUUUUAUUAUAAAAUAAACAUGGAUUAAUUAAAUAUAAACAGAAUUUGAAAGAAUUAAGUGAAUGUCAAAAAUUGUGGUGGGUGUUUGGACGAAAUUAUACUGACAACAAGAAUUUUAUUUAGACGACUUAUUAUUUGAACAACUAUUUAUAUAAAUUAAUUAUAAAUUUAUAAAGAAAAUAGAUAUUGACACAAAAAUCAAAACAAUAAAAAAAAAUAAAAAUGACUGUUAUGUCUUCAUAUUUUUUUUAGUGGUUCUCUUUCAAUUAAUCUAAUGUAGAGCAACAAAUUAUGAUGUAUUUAAUAUGUAUAAAUUGAUGUGUUUUAUUUUAUUUUGUUUGUUUAUUUAGAAGCUGAAAAAGAAGAUAUCGAUGACGAUAAUGUUGGCCAAACACCAACACAAACAGUUGAGAGGAAUAUCAUCACACACCUCACGUGAAACAUGAUUGUAUUCUCUCAGUCGGUGAUUUCUUUCUAUUUUUUGUCGCAAAAAUGUUUGGCUUAAUACAUACCAACCUCCAUCUAUCCCUAUUUAUUUGUCAUAUUUGAAUGGUAGAAGAUUCUCAAUAAAAUGAUUAGUUUCAUUAAUUUUAAAGUCAAAUUAUUUAUACACAUUAUUUUAAGAGGUUAAAAUGGAAUAUAUUAUCACAAAAGACAUGUCAACUAGGAGAAGGUGAAAAAUUAAAUUACAGCAGUGAAGUACAUCAAAAUGUUUUGUCACCAAACCUUGUAGUGAAAAUCGAAGGACAUAAGCUUCGAUUUAAACCACCAAACGCUAAAAUUUUAACUUACUCAAUGAUGGAAUGAAUAGUUUUCUUCUUAUGUUGAUACACUUGUUUCUCUCUUUUCAGAUAACGUAAACAACUACUAGCCAAAUCAUCUUGAAAGCUAAACAAAUGUUUUUUGAAAAAGCUCCCAAACCACAGAAGUGAUGAAGAUGUGAUAAAAUGUUACGAGAUGAUGUCGAACAAAUCCCUAACCAGCCACAAAUCAAAUAUCAAAUAUUACCAUAAAAAACACAAGUAACAAACAUAUGAUCUCUAUCCUCAGUACACCCACAUCCGCCUGUACAAAGUUGAUCAUUAAUGGAAAGCACUUGACGUCUCAUUAAGUUGUUUUUGGUAGGAAGACGAUUCUGAAACAAAACGCCAAGCAAACAUAGAGACCUUUAACGAGACCUUCUUAAUCCACAGAAUAUGAUAGAAAUCGUUGUAACCGUUGUCCACCACAUCAUGAUCUAACACCUGGGUCAGUAGCUAAUAGGCGCUACUCACAGUGUAUCUAGAAGAUUAAUGAAAUCUCCACCUCCACCUAUCCUCCACAUCAACGCGUAAAACAACAAUAUAUAACAAAUCGACACACUCCCUCACCAUCUCCUCCUCCCAAGCAAACAAUCUAUGUCUCCACUUCCAAGUUUCCCCAUUUACCCCCCCCCCCCCCAACCUAAGUAGAACAUGUCAGCUACAAAAACAAAUGUAUUCUCUACCAGAUCAAAAAAUCUAAGGAACCUAGUCAACAACAACACUCUUUCUAACCAUGUGUCCUUCCAAAACAGAGUGGAAGAGCCACCACCCACCAGCCUAAAGGAAAAUCGAAUUCAAAACAGAAUAAGCAGCAGGUAAAAUUUUUCGAUUUUCUUUCCUUAGAUCAUUACGAAUUACACAUGAAUCAGUGAUUCGAUUGUUACCUCGAAGUGUGAAAUCUGAUAGUUGGAAACUGAAAACUGGAAUCACGAUCACAGUAAAGCAAGCAGUAAGCAGCAAAGCCUCUAGCAAGUCCACACGAACAGUGUUCCUCAAAAACUCGGUGCUAGUCAAGGAAUCAGAAGUUUCAGAGAGCUAGGGUUUCUCCAAAAACGUGCAAUCUCAAACUUCAGCAUUAGGGUUCUAUUUAUAGAACUCCUUGUGUGCUCUGCAAGUCAGAAGUCACAAUUGGGUUUCAGUAAGCCCAAUAACGUGUUUAGUAAUUCUGAUAACUAAUUAGCGUUGUUUACUAAACGCACCCCUUAUAUAAGUCAUACUUAUAUAUUUCUCUUUAGACUGUUCU